AGGACUGCAAGAAUGGAAAUUGGAACGGCAGACAGUGUGAAUGCCAACCAGGCUACACGGGUCAGCUCUGUGACUCCAUGCUGUUUUCCUUCCCAGUAGAAUUCCCCAAUGUUAUUAACGCUACCGUAACCGUGAUAGUAAAAGUGAUUGAACGGAACUUCACAGCUGACAUGAAGAACAUGUCCUCCCAGGACUACAAGAACUUCACAGACCUCUUCCUGAGCCAGAUGGAUAAGGUUUUCAAGGGUGAUGACCUUCCCCAGUACAAAAAUGUGAUCGUCAGAAAACUUCUGUGAGUGUCGGGAAUGGGGCGGGGGUGUCCCUCUUUCCCUCCCUACUGCGUCCUCCUACCCUGAGGUUAGGCUGUCAAUAUCUGUCUCGGCCCAGGGGAACUCCAGUCCUGAAGCAACACCCAGGAGUCCUGAGUCACGUAUCAGUUGUUUAUCACGGCUAUCCAUUCAUAAUUUGUUCAUUCAUUCACAAAACUUGUCCUGCACCAUAAAGUCAUCAUUGACCCAGGCACCCAUCAUUUGUUGGACAGUUCAUUCAUACCUCAUUUGCUCAUUCACUUGUUCAUUACUCCCGUUCAUUGAAGUUUCGUCAUCACUGUCCACUUGCUCGUGACAGUUAC